CCUCAUCCAUGUGGUAAAUAAAAAUAUUGAACAGAACUGGCCCCAGCACAGACCCCUGAGGGACACCACUGGUGACUGGCCCCCAGCUGGAUGCAGCACCUUUCACCACCACUCUCUGGACCCAGCCACCCAGCCAGUUCUGAACCCAGCAAAGAGUGCUCCUGUCCGAGCCAUGGGCUGCCAGCUUUUCCAGGAGUGUGCCUAGACAACAUGCACAGCCUUUCCUGCAUCCACCAGGUAAUGAGGUCAGGCUAAGUGGCCUAUAAUUACCAGGAUCCUCCUUCCCACCCUUUCUGUGAAUGGGCAUCACACUGGCCAGCUUCCAGUCAUCUGGAACCUCACCAGUGAGCCAAGACUGUUGCAUGAAGAUGUCACCCAUGCUGUGUGCAGGACUGCCACUAGCAUGGAUGGUCUUUCUGCAGGGGUGGCAUGGAGGAACUGCCCUGCUCCAGGAAGAUGCAUCAAAACACUGUACAAAGAAAAUGAAUGGUGUGCCUGGGCAGGCUGCUGGGCUCAGA